GGAUUAUAAUUAUAAUGUUUUUCAAAACUGAAAUAUAUGAUGUACCACAUACACGGAACUGCGAAGUGGAGCCAAUGCAUUGACAAAUUUUCAGACGUUGACUUUCUUGGAGAUAAUUCUACCGACUCAGAUGAAGCCAUACAACAUUGGAGAGAAUUAUGAAACUUAAAGGUAAUACAAUUUUGCUGAGCAAGAAUCCAAUUUUAUUAACGCUGCGGGCUUCAACAUAUUUAUAUUGCAAAGAAACACAUAACUAGUUUGGACAUUGGUAUCUUUUCUGAAGGGAAAGUGCAUCUAGUUGGAUGCGUUAAACAGGUUGUCAAACCCGUUCCCAUUUGCAACGAGCAGAGACAAACUUCUUUGAAAAAACAUUAUGCAAUUACCAAAAAGCUUCAGUGGCUGUUAUUAAAAUUCUUCAACUAUCGACAUUGCACAUAAUUGAUGAAGACUUUUCAACUAGGUAUAUUCUGAUAGGUACCUAUUUCCUUUAAUUUGUGUACUUAUUUUACCUAUUUUUCCCCCCACCACCCAUCAGAAAGUGAUUAUUUAGUUUAUUUAACCAAAGAAAACUAUACCUACACACUGUGUUUGUAAAUAAAAUUAUUUUGUCAAUGACUAAUUUAAGAGAACUUUAUUUUCAAAUUUUAUUAUAAAAAAUAAAAGUAGGUGCCUAUUUAAAAUCUUAAUGAACUAUACCAUCAUGCUUUUCAUAUUUGUCGUAUCGAUAGUCUAUGCGUAUUCUAAAAUUUAGAAAUAUAUGACUAAUGUAGUUAUGUGUUGUAGAUUAUUGUUAUACAUGCAGCAGUUAUUUGUACACACUAUGUAAGAAAAAAAUAAAUGGUAAUAUAAUAUAAAAUUUAACUGUAGCCAUGUAUAAAACAAUUAAAC